rnacentral:rRNA from 1 species
GACGAACCGUGCGAACGUUGUUCGGAUUCACUGGGCUUAAAGGGCGCGUAGGCGGGUUGUCAAGUCAGGGGUGAAAGCCUCCAGCUUAACUGGAGAAGUGCCUUUGAUACUGAUGAUCUUGAGGGAGGUAGGGGCAUGUGGAACUUCCGGUGGAGCGGUGAAAUGCGUAGAUAUCGGAAGGAACGCCGGUGGCGAAAGCGACGUGCUGGACCUCUUCUGACGCUGAGGCGCGAAAGCUAGGGGAGCAAACGGG